AGAGUUUGAUUAUGGCUCAGAGUGAACGCUGGCGGCGUGCUUAACACAUGCAAGUCGAACGAGAACAUGCAGUAGUAAUACUGUGAUGCUAAGUGGCGCACGGGUGAGUAAUGUAUAGGUAAUAUGCCUCUUACUAAGGGAUAAUUGAUGGAAACGUCUUGUAAUACCUUAUAUGCCUUUUGAACAUAAGUUCGUAAAGGGAAAGAUUUAUCGGUAAGAGAUUAGCCUGUAUGGUAUCAGUUAGUUGGUGGGGUAAUGGCCUACCAAGACUAUGACACCUAACUGGUUUGAGAGGAUGAUCAGUCACACUGGAACUGAGACACGGUCCAGACUCCUACGGGAGGCAGCAGUGGGGAAUAUUGCACAAUGGACGAAAGUCUGAUGCAGCAACGCCGCGUGGAGGAUGACACAUUUCGGUGCGUAAACUCCUUUUAUAUGAGAAGAUAAUGACGGUAUCAUAUGAAUAAGCACCGGCUAACUCCGUGCCAGCAGCCGCGGUAAUACGGGGGGUGCAAGCGUUACUCGGAAUCACUGGGCGUAAAGAGCAUGUAGGCGGAUUAAUAAGUUGGAAGUGAAAUCCUAUAGCUUAACUAUAGAACUGCUUCCAAAACUGUUGAUCUAGAAUAUGGGAGAGGUAGAUGGAAUUUCUGGUGUAGGGGUAAAAUCCGUAGAGAUCAGAAGGAAUACCGAUUGCGAAGGCGAUCUACUGGAACAUUAUUGACGCUCAGAUGCGAAAGCGUGGGGAGCAAACAGGAUUAGAUACCCUGGUAGUC
rnacentral:rRNA from 1 species